CCCUGAAUGAGUGUGUCUGAAACAUCACAUUAUGUCUCAUGCUUUUCCCCCCCUCUACAACAUCUAAGAGCAAGUAAUGAGAUGGAGGCUUAACAAAAUAUGCACAAAAGCCUGAUGUUUUACAUCAGUUUAGUCUGACAUGACAACAAAAUCCCCUUCUUUUAGUGCCUCGUUGGCCUUUUGCUAACAUUUGUCCUCGCAUUUGAUUCUUGUAUUGCUUAAGCACACCAACAGUGCAUUUAUAAUCAUUUAUUUGAAUUGAAAUACAAAUCAUAGUCUUCUCAACACUGACCCAUCAAAUUUGCUUGUGUCCAUUGAAAACAAAUUUCCAGUAACAAUUUACAGGGACUGUGAGAGGGACUUGGUUUAUUCACAUUUAGUCCAUGUGAUAGUAAAAAGCCACUGGCCAUUUAGUUCACACAAAAAGUCAUAGCAAAUAUAUUACAUAUCAGUUAUAAAGAGCUCCAGAAUAUAAAUAAAUAAUCUUUUUACAUUAUUUACAUUGAUAUGUGGAUUGCAUAAAUGUGAAUAUGGAUCUUCUGAUAUGCAACAUUGGAACAGGUCUGAGAUUUCACCUCUGAAUGAAGGAAAAUAUCACAUGCUACAGUGGCUCCAAAAAGUAUCAGGACACAGAAAUAUAAAUGAACACUAUUGCAUUAGAUAUCAAAAUAUGAAGUGGCAUUCAUUUAAAAAAAAUGCCAUUGCCUUAUAAAUCAAUUGUGACAUGAGAAAGUUUUUAUCAAAUUAAUGGAUGCUAAAUGGUAGAAUGGUUGUCAAUGUUUUAUGUACAUGUGUGUUAUUUUUUAUUGAUUUCAAUUAAAUUUGCAUUUCCUGAAUAGGGUGGCUUGUUACAGCAACACUUUUUGUGAAAUACACGGUUUAGGGAGAAAUAAUAGAACUAUAAACGACUUUAUUUUGAAGCAGACAAAUAUGGGAUACAUUUAAACACUCCCAUGUCUCUUCUAUACUUUUUGGGGCCACUGUAUGUUUGACAAGCAGGCAGAUCCGGUGAAAACAAGUGAGCAAAAAACGUCACAUCACGCAGUAGGGCUCCAUGGGUGUUUGUGUAGUCAGGCAACACGGCAAACAGGCUCUGAAUCUCAUCCUCAGCUCCUUAUUGAAUAUGAAACAUAUGAUGGGAUUGGCGCCCGCCUGGGCGAACGUCAGCCACACGGCCGCGGUCAGGUACACCUGAGGAAGCGUGUUUCCCUUCACAAACACCCGGAUGUAACACGAGACGAUGUAGGGCGCCCAGAACAGCAGAAACGCCAGCGUGAUCAUGUAAUACAUCUUCCCUAUCCGUUUCUCCAUCUUGAACUCGUCCAGCACGAGCAGCCUCCGGUUGGUGUUGUGUGACGCCUGUCUGAUGCCCACUAACGUCGGCGGCGUCGGACCGCGUCCAAACCCCGCGAUCCAGUUGGCGGCGGCCUGGCCCGUCGCGCCCGGUCCGUGAAAGGUCCAGUUUUGGCUAAUAGCCGGAACCAGCUGCGCGGGCUUCAUUUUGCGGUGGUCAUAAACAAAGCACAGCAUUUUGACAUACACGACGUGCGUCGUGGCCACAAUCACGGCCAGCAUGAGCAUGAAGCCUAGUGUGUCGUUGGCUUUCACGUAUCUGUGCUCGAAUAUGCACUGCUCUUCCUCGCGGAUAAAUUUGUAGGUCCCGACGUCGAAGACCGGGGGAAACGCCAUGGCGACCGAGAGCGUCCAAACCAUACAUAUGACCGCGACGCAUGUCCAAAGCGUCAUGCGUUUGGAGUAGAACCGGUGGUGCGCGAUGGCCAUGUAGCGCGUUACGCUGACGCAGAACAGGAGGAAGGCGAUGUGGAAGCAGAACAAGACGGCCAUGAACGCGAUGAUCUUGCAGCUGAUGAUGCUAUAGCUCCAUACGGAGCCGCUGUUGAUGGAGAUCAUCACGAACGGGAAGCACACGGCCGAGCGGAUGAUGUCUGUCACGCACAGGUCGAGGAGGAAGUAAUACGGAGCCUUGUGGAGCGAGCUGUCUUUCAGCACCAGCACCGAGAGCAUGGUAUUCCCGAGCAGGCUGAUACAGGUGAUGAGACCCAAAGACGCCAGUUUGACCGCAGACGCAGUGAUGGCAUAAUUCUGGAGCGAGGGGUUGCUUCCCCCUGGAUCACUUGUGUUCGCCAUCUGUGCAAGCGCAACCCAGCCUGGGCUUUGUAAUCCGACAUUAAGCAGUCCUGGUUCCCCAGUUUGAUGUACAAAAUAUCAGCCUUUAACAAUCAGUUGAGUCUUUUACAUGACCAUACCUCGAGCUUUUUGGAGAUCCAAGACAUCGUGAUCGUGCGUCGUUUUGAACAUAACGGCUUCGUACGGUUGGUUCUUCAUGCUUCAAACCAGAUGCUGGGUAAUCCAUUAUUUGUCGAAGAAAAACGACGUGUAAUACACACUAAUAAACACGUAUCCGUCUCCAUUGAUCCGAUCGGGUAGGCCGAAAACAACCCAAGACACUUAAUCGAAACACAUUUUGAAUAAAUACCAGCCUAUAUACGUACGCAUCAAGUCUAUAAUUGUGGAGAUCGCGGCGGAGCACGUAACCGUCUUGUCUAGUGCGUUCUUGUUUUGGGGGGGGUGAAGGGGGAGUAUAAUGGGAACCUCCGGUGACAGCAACGGUGGGUCCGUCUUAAAGGAGAGCGGUGCGAUUCUGACACCAAAUCUGCACUGGAAGCGAACGAUGACCCCUCGCGACGCGUCGCGCCGCGGCUGUCUACACUGAAGCUGCACGUCAUCUUAGAACGUUCGCUAACGCGGACCAAUCAGCUGUAAACGCGAUGACUUUAGCAACGCUUAAUGGCUGAAUAUCUAUAUCAACAACUGCAUAUGUAUAUAAAUAAGCUAUAUUUAUCUCAUAAAAAUAAAACAAAAAAUGCCAUCCGAGAAGGUUUGUGGUUUUAAUAUUUUUACCGCUAUUACAUUUUUUUUAAUUUUUACAAUGUGAAUGUCUCGGCAUGUUUUUCACUCUGUUAGCUAAAGAAAAAUGCUAUUAUUAGAUUUUUUUAAUGUUAAAAAACAGAUGUAGGUAUACAUUUCAUCUAGACAUGCAAUAAAAGAGACUGUGAUGAUAGUUGCACACUGAAUUUAAUGAAAUUAGAUAUUCGGAGACUUAAAUUAGGCUACACUUUAAAAGUCUGAAUGCCAUUGCUUUCGAUACAAAAUGUUAAACCAAGUGGCAGCUUAGAGCUUUUCUAAGAACUAACUUCACUUUUGCAGUUACGUUUAACAAACUGGUCCCAAAGUCAAUUGUUAGUGGAUGUACACCUAUUCGAGUAUUUACAUCGACAUUUACCACAUAGUCCGUGGUGGUCGUCCAUGAGUUUUGCUCUGUUGUGUCAUUUAAGGAAAGCGAAGCGCUGUCCGUGGUGCUGAAGUGACUAAUCAUGACUGAUAGCUGUCAAUCUGUGUUGACCUGAUCACAGAGCCUGAGAAACAGCAUUGAAAGAAAGCUCUCUAAAGUAACACGGUGACAUGAGAGAGGUUCUGUAUCGUAACAAAUACCCAUUGCAGUGCGCGUGCCUGGCGAGAAGCAGCACGAGUCAGUUUUGUGAUGAGUAGCGUCCUCUAGUGUUUAGUUAUGGUCAUGCUAUUAAGCAAAAUCCCACCUAUUUUUGUAUUUGCUAAUUGUGUACAAACACUGUAGUGGUAUAAAGAUAUAUUAGAUUAACUAUAUCUAAUGCAUAGCAGUCCUGUUAAUAUAAAGUGGCCCGAAAAAGUAUCUGGACACUUCAGUCACACUUAGAAAUCUAUAAAAUCAUUACAUUUGACACAAAAUAUUAAACCAAUGACAAUUAACGUAAAGACAUUCCUUUAAUGAGUAUGAAAAUAUUUAGUCACUUUCUGUAUUUAGACAUACUGUAAUGAAUGUAAAAGUAAAUGAAAGAUACAUCCUGGGUUAAUCAGAAAUUUAUGAAAAAAAGGGGGAAUAAUCUUGGUUUAAAACAAAACAUAAAUCCUUGCCUUGGAAGUGUUAGGGCAAAAAAAAAAGAACAGAUGACCAAGGAAAGAUGACUAUAUGAUCAAUACAGAAAUGAAACAUAACUAUUGUAAAUACUGUAUGCGAGCAGUUGAAUGAGAGUCCCUCAUUCCGGACCAAAAUUGUAAAAGGAGUGACAUAAAUGUGAAAGGCCAAGUUUCUUUUCUUUGAAUGACUGGUCCUUCAACACUGGUUUGGACCCUUAUGAAGCAAUUCAACAGCUAUCUCACAAGACGUUC
ensembl:lncRNA